rnacentral:lncRNA from 1 species
CCCUGGCGGCUCGGCCCUGCCCGGCGCGUCCCUCGCGGCCCGCGGUCAGCGGCUGAUGAGAGCAGCGGCGCUGAUGGCCGGGCUGAGGAGCGAGGGCUGUGGGACUGCCGGGCUCCCGGUUCACCGAGGGCUGUGAGACUGCCGGGCUGAGGAGCGAGGGCUGUGGGACUGCCGGGCUCCCGCCCCACCGAGGGCUGUGAGACUGCCGGGCUCCCGCCCAAGCGAGGGCUGUGAGACUGCCGGGCUCCCGCCCCACCGAGGGCUGUGAGACUGCCGGGCUCCCGCCCAGCGAGGGCUGUGAGACUGCCGGGCUCCCGGCCCACCGAGGGCUCCCAGCCCACCGAGGGCUCCCAGCCCACCGAGGGCUCUCUGCGGAGAAGCACAAAGGUGGUCAAUAUUCUCAUUCCGCAGCCUACUCGGAACAAAUCAAUACCGUUAAGGGAAGUAGAGAGGAGCUGAAUUUUUUGUCAGUGAGAUUAUCAGAUUGUGAAGGAGGCAUUUUGUUAGACAAUUCAUGGUGUUAUUCCAUGGGCUGCUGUAGUUAGUCUUGUUUGCUGGGAAGAGUGACAUUUCCAUCUGGAACAUGUCUAGCUUCAAAAUCCAUGGAUGGAAAUCCAUGCGUGGAUUUUAAUGCUUUUUAUAUUUAAGAUCCUUCUGUUAUCAAAGUGUCCUUUCCCCCUGAGGUUCUUAGAUUAAACAAGCAUGUGGAUAUUUGUAACAGACUUCAAGUCUGGCAAUUUCUUUGCAGUUAGUUUAAAUUAUGCAUAUCCUGGGGCAAAGAAUAUUUGGUUUUGGUUAUUUUCUGAUUGCAGAUCAUGCUAGGAAACUUUUCAGCCAAGUGUUAUCCAACUGUAGCACUAGGUGUUCAGAUACUGCUAAACACAUGGAAUUACUUGUACUUGUGGUGACAGAUGGAUAAGAAACUGUCCUUACUAGAGCAAGUGCUGUUUAAUUUCAAUUACUAAAAGAAAGCCCGAGUUAUUAUUCCCAUAAAUAUCAUCCUGACUUGAGAAUUAAAAUAUUUUAAAACGUAUUUGGGUAAAGGGAGGGGGUGAAUGUUACCAUUUUCCUUCCAGAUCUGACCUACCCUUCCUCUGUUUUUCAGUCUUCCAAAUGGUUCUCUGGUAACCUAUUAACCUUUCAG